UGCCAUAGCAACAAAAUGAAAGAUGACAAGCAGCAGGAGAGAGAAGAAGAGUCUAAUUAUGUUCCCUGUUAUCCUGUUUCCAUGGAAACGCCAAUUACAAAGCAGAUGUCUGUGGAGGCAGAAGACAUCUACGUGUGACAACCAAUCAGAGCUCAUCUUUAUUUGUCCCUCCACUGUGUCUUACUUUCCUUCCACCUACUUUUCAUACAAAAACUGAGAAAACUCAAUAAAACAUGAAUCUGAUAAACAUUA